rnacentral:rRNA from 1 species
GAUGAACGCUGGCGGCGUGCCUAACACAUGCAAGUCGAGUGAUUUACUUCGGUAAAGAGCGGCGGACGGGUGAGUAACGCGUGGGUAACCUGCCCUGUACACACGGAUAACAUACCGAAAGGUAUGCUAAUACGAGAUAAUAUACUUUUAUCGCAUGGUAGAAGUAUCAAAGCUUUUGCGGUACAGGAUGGACCCGCGUCUGAUUAGCUAGUUGGUAAGGUAACGGCUUACCAAGGCGACGAUCAGUAGCCGACCUGAGAGGGUGAUCGGCCACAUUGGAACGGAGCCACGGUCCAAACUCCUACGGGAGGCAGCAGUGGGGAAUAUUGCACAAUGGGCGAAAGCCUGAUGCAGCAACGCCGCGUGAGCGAUGAAGGCCUUCGGGUCGUAAAGCUCUGUCCUCAAGGAAGAUAAUGACGGUACUUGAGGAGGAAGCCCCGGCUAACUACGUGCCAGCCGCCGCCGUAA